rnacentral:rRNA from 1 species
AGAGUUUGAUCCUGGCUCAGAUUGAACGCUGGCGGAACGCUUUACACAUGCAAGUCGAACGGUAACGCGGAGAGAAGCUUGCUUCUCUCCGGCGACGAGUGGCGAACGGGUGAGUAAUACAUCGGAACGUGUCCGCUCGUGGGGGACAACCAGCCGAAAGGUUGGCUAAUACCGCAUGAGUUCUACGGAAGAAAGAGGGGGACCCGCAAGGGCCUCUCGCGAGCGGAGCGGCCGAUGACUGAUUAGCCUGUUGGUGAGGUAACGGCUCACCAAAGCAACGAUCAGUAGCUGGUCUGAGAGGACGACCAGCCACACUGGGACUGAGACACGGCCCAGACUCCUACGGGAGGCAGCAGUGGGGAAUUUUGGACAAUGGGCGCAAGCCUGAUCCAGCUAUUCCGCGUGUGGGAUGAAGGCCCUCGGGUUGUAAACCACUUUUGUAGAGAACGAAAAGACACCUUUUAAAAAAGGGUGUUGCUGACGGUACUCUAAGAAUAAGCACCGGCUAACUACGUGCCAGCAGCCGCGGUAAUACGUAGGGUGCGAGCGUUAAUCGGAAUUACUGGGCGUAAAGGGUGCGCAGGCGGUUGAGUAAGACAGAUGUGAAAUCCCCGAGCUUAACUCGGGAAUGGCAUAUGUGACUGCUCGGCUAGAGUGUGUCAGAGGGAGGUGGAAUUCCACGUGUAGCAGUGAAAUGCGUAGAUAUGUGGAAGAACACCGAUGGCGAAGGCAGCCUCCUGGGACAUAACUGACGCUCAGGCACGAAAGCGUGGGGAGCAAACAGGAUUAGAUACCCUGGUAGUCCACGCC